GAGUGAAGACGCGUUUCAAGAAGUCAGCAAGUUGAGUUGUUUUCGUUGAAGAAGUGGAACCAAUUGAAGCGAAGAUUAUUAUAUGAAGAUAAUAAAUAUAAAAACAGCUCUUUUAAGAGCUUGACAUUACGUCAUACUACGUCAUUGCAUGCUACUUCUUGUUUCAAAUAAACAGCUCUUUUCAGAGCUAUUCGUUGUUUCAAACGAUGACGUCAAAUAAUGAGACAUGCGUGGCGUGUGUAUUCUUGUUGCUAUGCGUACUGCUACAUAUUCUUGUGGAUAAUAUCGUCACCCAACACUCGUACAGGUUGUGUUUAACUUUAAAAUAUAUAAGAAAUAUAAAAGGUCGACGACAACCGAAUCCCAGUAUGUCCGAGGAAAGGGAGUUAGUAAAGAAGCGUGGAAGUUUUAAAGGUCGCUUAACAGCAUUUAUUGAUUACCUCGAUGCAUUAAAUGAUAAAAAAUUAAGCAGUUGUGAUGUCACUGAAUUGCAAUUGCGGAGGGAACGGAUCGAGUCGUUGAACAUGCAAUAUGAUGAGGUGGACCGACAACUUAGAACGAGUCGCGGGAAGCAGUGGGAUGCGGGCAGCGCAAGACCGGCCAACGUGGAAAUCCUUGGGGGAGGCCUUUGUCCAGCAGUGGACGUCUUUCGGCUGAUAUGAUGAUGAUGAUGAUGAUUUGCGUGCUUCUCUAGAGGCUGCGGUUAUUCAAUCGAUUGAGUUUUCCGCUAGUAAUUACACAGUUGCUUGGAGUUUAAUAUGCGAUCGUUAUGAUAAUAAAAGAUUAUUAGUGCAGAAUCAGCCUUAUUUAAUAUCGAAGCUGUUACUAGGGAGUCUUCUGUGGCAUUAAAAGGGUUGAUAGACCAAUUAAAUAAAAACUUGCGUUCUUUAGAAUCCUUAGGUGAGACAGUUAUACAAUGAGACACUUUAUUAAUAUAUUUAGUUACUCGCAAGUUAGAUCAGGAGUCUUAUCGUGGGUGGGAGGAGUUUAAGGGCCGUAUUGACAAGAAUAGCGAAAUCAUAUUCGAUGCAUUCCUUUCCAUUCAUUCAUACACGCGCUGACUUAAAACAAAAACACAUUCCAAACAUAUUCCAAAGAUAAAAUCCAUGGUAACGACAUAGAGUUCUGGUUGUCCAAGCCCUGAAUCUGUCACUAAGACUUGUCCCUGUUGUAAAGGUGACCACAGUCUAACUAAUUGUUCACAGUUCCUUCAUUAAGUAAUGAAGCUCGUCUUAAGUUAAUACCGAGUUAUAAAGUGUGUUACAACUGUUUUCGUUCAGGUCAUUUUGCUAACAAUUGUAAAAAACCUGAGUGCAAGCUAUGUAAGCGUAGGCACAAUAUAUUAAUUCACGUCUCUGACAUUAAAGGUAAUCGCUAUGACAUGGAUAAUAAUAUAUCAGCGUCUCAGUCAACAUCAGUUGCGCCUGAGCGUUCA